rnacentral:rRNA from 1 species
CCCUUAGAUGUCCUGGGCCGCAAGCGCGUUACACUGAUGCAUUCAACGAGCUUAUAACCUUGGCCGAGAGGCCUGGGCAAUCUUGUUAACGCGCAUCGUGAUAGGGAUAGAUUAUUGAAAUUAUUAAUCUUGAACGAGGAAUUCCUAGUAAACGCAGAUCAUCAAUCUGCAUUGAUUACGUCCCUGCCCUUUGUACACACCGCCCGUCGCACCUACCGAUUGGAUGGUCCGGUGAAGCCUCGGGAUUGUGGUUCUUGCCGCUUUAUUGUGGCGUGACCGCGAGAACUUGUCUAAACCUUAUCAUCUAGAGGAAGGUGAAGUCGUAACA